GCAGAGUAGCGGCAGACGCGUUAAGUGUCCAUGGACGGGGAGUUGCCAUGGGACGAAGCCGGAUUCUUUCCGGCGCGGUGUCUGCCGCGCAUCCCGCUGC
rnacentral:ncRNA from 1 species